rnacentral:rRNA from 1 species
CCUACGGGCGGCAGCAGUGGGGAAUAUUGCACAAUGGGGGAAACCCUGAUGCAGCGACGCCGCGUGAGUGAAGAAGUAUUUCGGUAUGUAAAGCUCUAUCAGCAGGGAAGAAAAUGACGGUACCUGAUUAAGAAGCCACGGCUAACUACGUGCAAGCAGCCGCGGUAAUACGUAGGGGGCAAGCGUUAUCCGGAUUUACUGGGUGUAAAGGGGGCGUAGUGGGCAGUACAAGUCUGGAGUGAAAGGCGGGGGCUUAACACCGGAACUGCUUUGGAAACUGUGCAGCUAGAGUGCAGGAGAGGUAAGUGGAAUUCCUAGUGUAGCGGUGAAAUGCGUAGAUAUUAGGAGGAACACCAGUGGCGAAGGCGGCUUAC